rnacentral:rRNA from 1 species
GACGGGGCCGCACAAGCGGCGGAGCAUGCGGAUUAAUUCGAUGCAACGCGAAGAACCUUACCAAGGCUUGACAUACACCGGUAACGCCCAGAGAUGGGUGCCCCUUUGUGGUCGGUGUACAGGUGGUGCAUGGUUGUCGUCAGCUCGUGUCGUGAGAUGUUGGGUUAAGUCCCGCAACGAGCGCAACCCUCGUCCUAUGUUGCCAGCGGGUCAUGCCGGGGACUCAUGGGAGACUGCCGGGGUCAACUCGGAGGAAGGUGGGGAUGACGUCAAAUCAUCAUGCCCCUUAUGUCUUGGGCUUCACGCAUGCUACAAUGGCCGGUACAAAGGGCUGCGAUACCGCGAGGUGGAGCGAAUCCCAGAAAGCCGGUCUCAGUUCGGAUUGGGGUCUGCAACUCGACCCCAUGAAGUCGGAGUCGCUAGUAAUCGCAGAUCAGCAACGCUGCGGUGAAUACGUUCCCGGGCCUU